UUUUAUGGAGAGUUUGAUCCUGGCUCAGGAUAAACGCUGGCGGCGUGCCUAAUACAUGCAAGUCGAGCGAACGGACGAGAAGCUUGCUUCUCUGAUGUUAGCGGCGGACGGGUGAGUAACACGUGGAUAACCUACCUAUAAGACUGGGAUAACUUCGGGAAACCGGAGCUAAUACCGGAUAAUAUUUUGAACCGCAUGGUUCAAAAGUGAAAGACGGUCUUGCUGUCACUUAUAGAUGGAUCCGCGCUGCAUUAGCUAGUUGGUAAGGUAACGGCUUACCAAGGCAACGAUGCAUAGCCGACCUGAGAGGGUGAUCGGCCACACUGGAACUGAGACACGGUCCAGACUCCUACGGGAGGCAGCAGUAGGGAAUCUUCCGCAAUGGGCGAAAGCCUGACGGAGCAACGCCGCGUGAGUGAUGAAGGUCUUCG
rnacentral:rRNA from 1 species